rnacentral:rRNA from 1 species
GACGAACGCUGGCGGCGUGCCUAAUACAUGCAAGUUGAGCGAUGAAGAUUGGUUCUUGCACCACUUUUCAGAGCAGCGCACGUGUGAGUAACGCGUGUGUAAUCUGCCUUUGAGCGGGGGACAACAUUUUGAAACGAAUGCUAAUACCGCAUAACAACUUUAAACAUAAGUUUUAAGUUUGAAAGUUGCAAUUGCAUCACUCAAAGAUGAUCCCCCGUUGUAUUAGCUAGUUGGUUAGGUAAAGGCUCACCAAGGCGAUGAUACAUAGCCGACCUGAGAGGGGGGAAGGCAACAAUGGGAAUGAGAGAAGGGACAAAGGCCUACGGGAGGGAGAAGGAGGGAAACUUCGGGAAAGGGCGAAAGACUGAACGGGAAAAGACGCGUGAGGGAAGAAGGGUGUCGGAUCGUAAAAAUCUGUUGGUAGAGAAGAAAGAUGGUGAGAGUGGAAAGCUCAUGAAGUGACGGUAACUAACAAGAAAGGGACGGCUAACUACGUG